GUGCUUGCUUCAGCAGCACAUAGACUAAAAUUGGACCAAUACAGAAAUUAGCCUGACCCCUGCACAAGGAUAGCACACAACUUCGUGAAGUGUUACAUAUUUUU
ensembl:snRNA U6 U6 spliceosomal RNA